ACGCACAAGAGAGCAAGGCCAAAAACCCAGAACUGUUGAGGUCAACAAAAUUAAGGAAGCAUGUUGCUACCUUAUGUCAGCUUCUCGACCUGAACAAUCAGGAACUCGAGCAAGUUGCUCGUUUUAUGGGACACGACAUUAGAGUCCAUUGUGAGUUUUAUCGGCAGACCGAUAAAACUUUCCAAGUGGCCAAGAUUGCCAAACUACUGUUUGCGAUGGAACGUGGGACAGAGUCGCUGAAGGGAAAGAGUCUGCAAACCCUGGACUCUGUUAUCACUGGAAGAGCACAUGCAGCCACCUCAACCAAAGGUCUGAAAAGUGGCAAAAAGAGAAGACACGAUCCAGGGAGACGACAGGAAGCUCAAGAUGAAUGAGAAGUGCCACAUUCAGCUGUAGCAACGAGAUCUGAUGAUGAAGAUGAUGGAGGCGGUAACAGUACCAACUUGGACACUGAAAACACAGGCACCUACAAAAGGCCACCGAAGAUGCAGUCAAUUAAAGAAAGAAAUUAUGCUGAUGACGCUGAUGACGACAUGAGUGAUGUUUCUGGCAGUGAAUAUGGCGAUGGAGGGGUGUGCCAUAAGACAGUUAAGAAGACUGUCAAGAAAAAAAAGACAAUGUUUGGAAGACAUGGAUUGGUCUAUGACGCAUCUUUCACACAUGGCCAAGAACAACCAUCAACAUCAGGGAGCGCCACCAAACGAAAGAGGAUUGCAACACUUACACAUGACGACGAUGAUGUUGAAGACAGCGAUGAAGAGGACAAAAAGACUGGACACAGAUCUCUUGGGAAGAAGAAGACAGCAGUUCGAAAAGAACAUAGUGAAGUUGAAUUGGAAACUAAAAAAAGGAAGAGACUCGGACUCCAAAGGAAAGAGCAGCAAUUGAUCGACACCUUUCAAAAUUUGUAGCAUUAAAG